AGGAAGGAAGGAGUGAAGGAAGGAAAGAAAGAAUAUAAAAUAAAAUAAAGGUAAAAUAAAAUGAAGUUAUUAAAAUAAAAAAUAAUUAGUUUAAAAAAAUUAAAAAAGAAAAAGAAAAAAAAAGAACAGACAGAUAGAACCCUAGGACAAAUGGUGGAAGCAAAGCUAUACAGACUAAAUCUCACACAGGCAUACACACACACACUCACAAAAAGAGGAAAAGGGGAAAAAAUCAUAAAUCUUGCUCUCAAAGUCCACCUCCUCAAUUUGGGAUGAUUCGUUGUCUAUUCAGGUAUUCCACAGGUGCAGGGUACAUCAAGUUGAUUGUGGAGAUUUAAUCCGCUGCUCCUGAGGCUUCUGGGAGGGAUUUCCCUUUCUCUUCUUUGUUCUCACAGCUCCCGGGGCUCAGCUUUGGAUUUGGCCCCACCUCUUCAUGUAGGUCGCCGGAGGGCGUCUGUUCUUUGCUCAGACAGGACGGGGUUAAAGGAGCAGCUGAUUCAGGGGCUCUGGCUCACUCAGGCCGGGGGGAAGGAGGGGUACGCAGUGCGGGGCGAGCCUGCGGCGGCAGAGGCCAGCAUGACGUUGCACCAGCCUGAGGUGUGCCGUGUGUUCUCCUGGGGAAGUUGUCCCUGGAUCACCGGACCCUGGCGGUGGCCGGCUGCACAGGCUCCCCGGAAGCGGGGGUGUGGAUAGUGACCUGUGCUCACACACAGGCUUCUUGUUGGCGGCAGCAGCAGCCUUAGCAUCUCAUGCCUGUCUCUGGGGUCCGCGCUUUCAGCCGCGGCUCCCGCCCGUCUCUGGAGCUCCUUUAAGCAGCGUUCUUAAUCCCCUCUCCUCGCGCACCAGGAGACAAAGAGUUAAGAAAAAGUCUCUUGCCUCUUCAGCAGGUCCAGACUUUUCCCGGGACUCCCUCCCGGCUAACCGUGGUGCACUAGCCCCUGCAGGCUGUGUUCAUGCCGCCAACCCCAGUCCUCUCCCUGCGCUCCAACCGAAGCCCGAGCCUCAGCUCCCAGCCCCGCCCGCCCCGGCAGGUGAGCAGACAAGCCUCUCGGGCUGGUGAGUGCCAGUCGGCACCGAUCCUCUGUGCGGGAAUCUCUCCGCUUUGCCCUCUGCACCCCUGUGGCUGUGCUCUCCUCCGCGGCUGCAAAGCUUCCCCCCUCCGCCACCCACAGUCUCCACCCGCGAAGGGGCUUCCUAGAGUGUGGAAACCUUUCCUCCUUCACAGCUCCCUCCCACAGGUGCAGGCUGCAGGUUCAAAGUUCUUGUUGUUUUGGUGUCUGCCCCCAGUGACUAAGAAGGCACUGAGCGGCACAUUUCUGCCUUUGAAGCAAGUCUCAGUGGGGCUCAGAGGCCGAAAAGCACCUGAUUGCCGGACACCGUGUCAAGAAAGAUGGUUAAACUUUUACUGAGUUGAGAUGGGAGCAAGAGAUAAUGAAUUUCAAGAUCAGUUUUUCUGUUAUUGAAGGAGCUGGAAUCAAUUUUCUUUGCAAUGAUGAGUACUAAUACAUAUGGAAAAAACAUUGUGUUAGAGUGGAAGUUGGCAUGGUCAGAUGGACAUGGUCUGUUAAAAGCUAGUAUGAGCGUUUGUGUGGACAAGAACCCAGAAAAUGAAACAGAUAAACAAGUCGCUAAAGGAAGCAAGAGCUUCAAUGGCCACUUGAGAAAUUAGAUACAACUCAGAUUAUAACUUACAAUGCUGUCUACGCAUCUGGCUCUCUAGGCAGUGUUCCUUGUGCAAUUACAUCAUCACUAAAGUUAUAUGAUCACCUGAGGGAAAACCUAAAAAUAUCAGUUUCUUGUCACAUGGGCCUCUGAGCAGAGCUGCUCACAACAUGGCAGCUUACUUCCCCCAAGUGAGAAAUCCAAGUGAAAGCAAGUGAAAGAUGACUCCCCCAAGGCCGAAGCCGUGGUCUUUUUUUAACCUAAUCUUGGAAGUGACAUCUUAUUACUUCUACCGCAUUCUGUUUGUUAGAAGCAAGUCACUAAAUCCAGUCCACAUUCAAGGGGAGGGAAUCGCACAAGUCACGAUAGCAUGAAGCAGAGAUCAUUGGAAAUCAUCUUUGGCAUUGCCUAAUUUAUACACUCUUAUAAAAAGACCAAUGUUUCUGUAGCCAUGGAAACAAAUAACCACCAUACCAAUUUUAAACCCAUUUACUAGAUGAACUACAACUUGCCUCAUUAAACCUGCUUUUGCAAGCCCAACCCAUGCGUAUUAUUAACAUCUCACUUUUGUAAAUCAGUCAAUCUGGAAUAAAUUCACUCCAGUUAGCACACCUCUGAGCAACAGUCUCAUUCAAGUAACCAUGAUUAAACAGAUGAUGACCAUGAAAAUCCACCCAUCUUUGAACUUCACUGAUUUCCCCAAACUCUCUGUAAGAUCAGUAGUCUGCUCUGCUUGGAUAGACUGUUCCUGAUCAACAUAGCUCUUCCCUACUAUGUCAGCAAUAAAUUCAGUUUUAUGUUUUGGUUUGUUUGAGGUAUUGAGUGCAGGUCUAUCACCCUCUGACAAUCCAAUACAUACUGUUUUAAGCUUACUACUAAGUUUGGGUAGUAAGUUGUUAGGAAGCAAAAGCUAACUCAUACACUCUGGCAAACAACAGGUCCAUCACAAGUCGUUCCAGUUUUCAUCCUAAAAAGAGUAGGAUCCUGGCUCAUUUGACAUGGAAGUUGGAGAGUAUAGAUUGCAAAUCACUAAUGGAAACGAUGGCUGUAAGAGCAGUGUCGACGUAAUCGCUGUCAUGAAUUCAGCUUAAUUUGUGAUUUAAUACAUUUUAUUUUCUCACUCCUAUUACAGCCUAGAAUUACAGAUGUCUUCAGUGUUUCUGGAGGAGUCCUUUCAAUUUGGCUUUGAAAUGCAUUCAGGGAUUUGAUCUUUUCUCUUAAAAUACUAAAAAUGUUAGUGUUGGUCUUGUGAAGGCACAUGCUCUCACACAACUGCAGCGUGAUUUCUGAGAUGUCGGUAUCUGGAAGGCAUGUUUUAAAAGCUCUGAUUUAUUUUUAUGGUGAAAGAAAGAGGAAUUAUUAAGAAAUUCUUGGAAGUGGGAUAUGAGUAGGAUUUUUUCCUCCAACAUUUAUAGGCUUUCAUUUGAAGCUCCCUUAAUGCAACACUGGUCAAAACAUGGUCCAUGGUAUCUUGUGCUGAUUUUCUUGAAGAACAGCACAUUUUAAAAAUUCUGAGGUUUGUCACAACCAGAUGAUCAGCAAACCCUACAAAGGAGGAAUAUGGCAAGAAAUAGUCUAAGAAAUAAAAUUGAUAUUCCCAAAACCAAUUGUAUUCAAUACUCAUUUAACAUCUUAGUGUAUGAACAGGACUGGGUUUAGGGGCUGGAAUUGGAGAUAAAACCAGGAAGGUUGAACCUUAAAUGCCGUAAUAAAGAACCCUAAGUAUAUUUUUAAAGAGCACAGGGAGCUUUUGGAAUGGUUUAAAUACAGCAAUGACAUAAUUAGAUCUGUGUUUUAGGAAUAUCAAUCUGGUAUAUGUGUAGAAUGUAUAGGAUGAAUAGCAUUGGGGAGAUAAUGGAGGGAAGUAAACCAGUUGGGAAACCAUCAUGGUACUCCAGGUCGUGAGUUCAUAUUGCCGUUCUACCACUUAACAAAUAUGUAACCUUAGAAGCCACCUAACAGUUGCACUUCAGUCUCUCCAUCAGCGAAACUGGGUGAGAUUGAUCUAUAUGAUCCAUAAGAUCCUUUAUAGAACCUAGAAAAGCAACACAAAACUCUUUAAUUCUCUGGGGUUCUAGGAAGCAAAAUGAAAGCAAUGUAAGAAUUUGGGUCAUUGAAAGAGCAAAAACAGCCUUGAUAAGUGUGGGUCAAGGAUAAACUUCCUUUAUUACUUUAACCCUCACCCAAUGCAGAAAUAUCGCCUACGUACUGGUUGGCAGAUGGCCCCCGGGCUCUGCUUCGGUACCUCCAGUGAUAGAGGACUCUGAAGGGUACCAUUUCAUCCAUUGCUGGGCAGCCCUAAUUGUGUUUUCAUUUGCUUUUAUAUUGAGGUGAAAUUUGCUCAUUAUUAUUAGGUCUGGAAUUACACUGAAUAAGUCCCUUUUCUUUCUUCUGUGUGACCAUUAAACUUGAGCCUAGUCCGUCCCAGCUAAACAUUCUGAAGUAUUUUUAACUGUUUUCUGAGGGUGUGGUUUGGGACCCUUCACCAUCUUGAAUAUCCGGGGUGACAUGGGUGUAGUUUCCAUGAUCAUCAGAAUGCUGCAGUGACAGCCCCUGGGUCCUCCACAACCCCCCAUUGCUGUUGGAGCGAGAGCAGAGCUCAGACUCUCCCUCCCCAAUCAAAACUUGUGGUUCUCCAGUGUGCAGGCUCCAGGGAUGAUGCUUGUGCAAUGAUCCAGGACGUCUCUGUAGAUUGUUAACAAGUGGGCUGGGACUGAAGGUCCCUCUUUUCCAGUGGGAGGGGCUGCACCUGAACCCAACUUGCCAAGGACAUGGUGGCCUCUGGACUGGUAGCUUCUUUCCCAUAGCAGGAGCAGCUGUGAAUUCCCAUGGGCACUGGGCGGGUACCAUUUCUCAGUUCUCCUGCAAUCAGCAAGCACUUAAGUUCAGUCAGCUCAGCACCUGAGUCCAAAAGAGUUUGUCCCCCCACCGACUUUUAAGUCCACUUUCAAGACUGUACAAUAAGAAGGACAGGGCUCUCCAAAUGUCCUUGGGUUUCAUGUUUCCCCAGUACCUUUAUGCCUAGUCUGAAGGUAUGGUAUUCACCCUCAUCCACUUCACCAUAGAGUUAUAGUACACACACACGGUUCCCCUCCUAAUUUCUUUUUGCUGAGAGAUUAGGUCCCAGUUUUAGCACUGGAUAUAAUUUCUCUUCUCCACACCAUGUGUGGAUUGAAGUUUUCACUUAAUGGGUUUUCUGAAAGCAAAAGAUUUAAUCCCAACCACCUGUCUCUUACUCAGAGGCGAUCCAUGCCCUUAACCCAAAGGACACAGACGUAUCCCACAGAUAUAUGAACCAGCUAGAGAUAAGGUCUGGGGGAAGUAGGCUCGGGGCCCCAGAACAUCCCUCUGUGGGUGGCUCCUCGAUACAUCCAGCCUCUGGAGAGCAGCCGUGAAGGGAACAGGAACUGGAGCUUGCCUGGGCAGGUCUCUAAUCUCUGAAUAGUCGUUUCAGAGGGCUCCGGUAGUUUCUUUGUGAAAGUGAGGAUUUUAGUUCCUGAAAAUCUGAACUAUUAUAUUAUUAUUCAAGCUGAUCUCUGGCCACUUAGUCAUCAUUCUGUCUAGCACGAUACCGAGGCAGGAAAAAAGUGGGCUUCAGGCUGGACACUUACAACUAGCCUCCUGUUUGCAUUUCCUGAGACAGGAGAUAGGUGGGGUCCAGGUUAGGCACUUACAGUCAGCCUCCUGUUUGCUCUCUGAAAUGGAAGUAACAACAGAAACAUGGUAAAUAACCAGGCUUUGUCUCCUGUGGACACCUUAAGAUAACAGUCAUGGCAGGAACAGAGUGGGGCUAACCCUUGUUUGAGUAAAGGAUCAAGACGUCAUAUAUUUCCCAACCUUCGGGAAAGGGAGACAUUGCACAUGUGCAGAAAGUCUUCUUGGGGGUCAAAAAAGAGGGGGCACCACCCCAAAAUAUAUGAUGCUAAGGCUGCCCCAUAGGCCUCUGGGCUGGAAUCCAUCUUGGAAAAAUGUUGCGCACGCAUGUUGGGGAGGGUCCUAGGGCAGGUCAGGUGUGGAAAAAGAAACCAGAUAAUUGGCCAGAGGUAAACAAAGACCCAGAAGAACUGCCCUGUAUAAGUGACUUAACGGCCUCUUUACUGCACUUCUCCUCAUUAGGGAGGACGCCCACACCCUUUCAUUCCGGGUGGGCGUCUCUGCCUUGUUUCUGUCUUAACUAAACAAACUGUUUCUCUGUGUGCUCUCCCACUUGUUGUUGUGCUAUGUCUCUAAUAAUAAACUCUGUGCCUGUUUUUAUAGUUUUUGCUUCCAUGAGAAAUGCAUUUUUCGCUGGGGGCAAGAGCCAGGGGGUGUGGUGACUGGUUUUCAUCCAGGCUAUCUAGAUUCAAUUCCUGGCCAGGGAAUUAAGAUCUCUCUCCACACCAAUGCUCACUGCUGCCUCUCCGAGAUCAAUACCCUUGGUCCUCUAACCACCAGCAAGAAGGAAGAGGUGACGUCUGCUAUUGGCAGGAGGUUCCAGUCGGCAGCUGACAGUCCUCCUUUGGGGGUGGAACUAAGGAGCCUCAUGGAGGUGGGGGGUGCCUACAGGUAUCAUCCAAAGAAUAGAAAGUCUGAGGAACAGUUCACACCUGUUCUUUUAAGAAACCUCCGCUUAUCUCAAUCAGGUAAAUGGCAGAGCCGUUUCUCAUAUGGGAAAGGCCCAUUGACUUGGUAAAGGCAGAUCAAAUGUCCUCUGAGUGGCAUGCAUUUGUAACCUGCCUUCUGGCUAUGUCACUUCAGGAUGAAUAUUUCAGCCUGCUAAUAGGAGCUGGCCAGCUUUUAUUGGGCAUUUACUAUGCGCCAGGCACAUUUCCAAUUGCCUUACAAAUUUUAACCCUUUUAAUCCACAGAAAAGGAAUACGGCAAAGACAUUCAUAUUAACUUCAUUUUAUAGGUGAAGGAACUGAGACACGGAGUUAGAAGUCUGCUCUGGGUCACACAGUGAAUAGGCAGGGCCGAGCCAGGAGUGAGACCUAAACAAUCUGGCUCCAAAGCUCAGGCCUGACCACUGCACCACCCUGCCUACCCAGAUAUUGCUGCCCCUUCAGUUUGGCCCCUACUUACCUUUCCAAGUCCAUCUCUUUACUUCCAAGUAGCAAAACUGGAGCAUUCGCUCUUUCCUUGACAAAAUCCAUUCCCCACCUCUGUGUCCUCUCAUGAUCUUCUUUCUGCCCAAAAUGCCUGUCUCCAGGCCCCUUCUCUGCCUGAAAACCUCACACCCAUUUUGGGGAGAAUCCAUCUCAAAGAUACCAUCAAAGCAAAAGAAACUAACAUUUGCUAAGUUCCCACUAUCUUUGGGAUACUCUACUAAGGAAAUUCACAUAAAAUAUUUUGUUUAAUUCUCAGUCCAACUCUUUGUGGUAGGAGAGACAAGAAAAGGCUCUGAGAUGAGUUUUCUGCUCAGCUAGGAAAGGGCAGAGCUGCACGGACCCUUGUGUAGAGUGUGGUCAAGGGCACUAGGGGUGUCCUUUCUUUUCCUUGUUCCUCUCACAGAGCACUUUGUCCAUCUCAGGAUGCAUUACUAUACCUUAUAGUACAGGGGGUUGUGUAAUGCCCCUAUCAUAAGACUUCUGAUAGCAGAAGUUGUGUCUAUGCUCCCUUUCCUCCCUGAGGCACCCCGCCUAGUUCUUUGAACCUAAAUCAAUUAAUAAAUAUUUGUGUAACUGAGUAAAAGUGAAUUGAGGAUCAGGGAGGUAGCCUUGGUGGGGAAGACAGGCUCACACUUGCCAAUUCCAGGGCUUCUUCCAAGUUCUGAAAUAAUGAGCUGUCAGUUUCCUUGAGAUGAUAAGCCUUUGGGGAAGGAAGCAGUGAACCGAAACGAGCAAGUAUAUGCCUCAGUCCACCAAAAGAGGAAGCUCCUGUUCUCAGACAUGACAAGUUCCCAAAAUAUGUGGUGUUAAUUCUAAUAGCGUGCAUUUAACACAACUUGUGACUGCACGAACAUGUGGGAACAAGCUCGGGACAAAGAGACAUCCUCACCCAAAGGUGCCAGAAUACAUGAAAGCACCACAAAAGCCAUUUCACUUGAAUAUUACAUGGCUUCUGCAAAGGAAAAAAUUUGUUUGGUAACUUUCUUUUAUCAUAUGCUGUGUUUUUACUUAAACGUGUCUAAUGAGCCUGUGUUUGUUGUGUGCCAGCUGUGUAGGUAAUUCUAUAAAGAGCCCAAGUCACUUGCCUAUUCCACCAUCGCUGGAUCCUAAGUUCAGGAAAAUAGAAAACAACAACAACAAAAAUAUAUGUUCCUCUUCAAUUCCUGCUGCCUUUUCCUCUCUCAUUCUGAAGCAGAGGGCUGAGAGACAUAAAGAUAAUCCAGCCAUUCAGGGCUGGCAAAAAAAGUUUCAAGAUGCCAAGACUCUUUAUCUUGUCCUGAUGCCAUAGAGCUGAAAAACACAAGCGGCUUUAAAAUACAUAAACCUGAUGAAACCAUGACUCAUAAAAUACUGAAGGACAACCAAAAAGGGAACUUAGCUUACAUUUUAUCCUACACAUCAGAACACAGGGAACUCAAGGGAGCAUGGUGUGGUGGAAAUUGGAUUUGAACUUGUUCAAAAAGGCUGUACGUGUGAGUGAUACAUUUCAAGGGGGAAAGAAAACAGAUGCAGGGAAACCAAAAGAAAACAAUGGCAACUACUUUCUAAAAGUUGAUAAGGACAUCCUAGGUCAGUGUUAGAAGGAAUGAUGAGGCAAUAUCAAAUCUGGAAAGGAUUUGGUAGGUAUUGGGAAAGGGCUUGUAAUUGAUUGAGGAUUGGUGAGGGGUGAAGGAUGACUCCCUUUCUGCAGGCUUGAGUGACGGGGUAGGAAGUGCUGUUACCACAUGAAACAUAUCAACAGAAUAUAGGAGCAGCGGAAGGGCUGAGGAGAAGACCAUGCCGAAGUUGUAGCAGCUUAAAGCUGCUUGCUCCAGUGAGAAGCAACGCCAUCAGAUAAUAAUGAGAAGACUGGCGUGUGUUAGGGACUUGAGGAUGGUCAAGGUUUACAGCGGUAACUGAAUAUAGAGAAGACGGUAAACAAAGGGAGCACAAAGAUUGAAGGGCAGAACUGAGGACUCAGCAGAGCGUAGAGAGCACAGAUUGGCGGAGUAGUAUGGUUUUCUCCACCUGUGUCAACAGUCCAGCUGUUGGAGGAAGGAGAGCAGAGAGUGGCACAAAUUAACCAGAAAUGAGUUUCAAAAAGGAGCCAUUCUGGAAGGCAUGAUGAUGACUUGGUUGAGCGUACUCUGAUUACCGAAGUCUUCACUGAGAUAGGUAGUUUCUACCCAGGCCAGACACGUAACCCACGUGAUUUGUGUUUCAAGUUAAUCACUGUAGGGCUUCCCUGGUGGCGCAGUGGUUGAGAGUCCGCCUGCCGAUGCAGGGGACACGGGUUCGUGCCCCGGUCCGGGAAGAUCCCACAUGCCGCAGAGUGGCUGGGCCCAUGAGCCAUGGCUGCUGAGCCUGCGCGUCCGGAGCCUGUGCUCCCGCAACGGGAGAGGCCACAACAGUGUGAGGCCCGCGUACCGCAAAAAAAAAAAAAAAAACAAAAAACAAAACUGUAUAAACUAAUGCACUUAGAGAAAGAGUUGAGGGAGCUAGGCCUGGAGGAAGGGAGACUAGCCUGGAAGGCGGUCUGUGUGAAAGAGAAAUGGUUCUGGUCUGAGGCAAUAUUAGCUGAGCUAUAAAUUUGGGCCUAUGAAGUCAAUAGAAAGGUGGAUUUUUGUUUGUUUCUUUCAGUUUUUUUUUGUUUAUCUGAUUGUCUGCACUAAUGCAUGACUGAAUCCUUAAAAGAGAAACAAAUGCAGAUGUAUUUUUAAUUUUUAUUUUUAAGAGACAGUAUGAUUUGGCAGGUAAGAACAGAUGCUCUGGUACACAAGCUCCCUGGGUUUAAAUACCAGCUCUACCAUGUAAGAGUCGUGUGAUCUUUGACAAGUUAUCUCAACUUCAUCUGUAAAGUGGAAAUAAUGAGUUUACUUAAUUAUAUGGUUGUUGUAAAACUUAAAGAUGUUAAUAUGUUGAAAGAGCUUGGAAAAGUUGUACAUAUGAAGAACUCAAUAAAUAUUGGUAUUAUUCUUGUAUAUAUUUAAUUCAAGAGUCAUCAUCUCAAAGAGUCAUUUUGUUCUUGAUAUUAAAAUUAAAAUGGCUAAAGGGCCUAUCUAUGGUACCCUCCCCCGGAUCUGUGUGCUUUCCUGCAUAUUAUAGCAGCUCUUGCUUACAAAGCCGCCAUUUACUUCUCACGUCCUGUGGCUGUUCUUUGUUCUACCAAGAGACAGUUUCUUGUCCUAGAUUUCCCUGAAGUAUCUCCAGCACAAGGCCAGUUAGAAUAAUUUCAUCCAAGGCUUAGAGGGUAACAGCGGCAGUAUACCACAGUGGCUGCAAUUUACCAUGGACUCUCAGACACCCCUGUUUUGGAAAGUCCAUGGGACAUUCCCAUUUCCAGGAAGGUGUGCUUGGCCACUACUUUGUCUCACAGGACAAGUUCCUAAGCCUCUUCCUCUCUCAUUCAGUUUCAAUUUCUCAUCUUUCUUCCUUUUUUAGUCCAGUCUCCUCAGAUCCUCCUUCCUGGGCAACCAGAGGACCUCCAUCUUUUUUCCUUUAUUAUUCACAGCAGUUAGUGUUCUCUUUAUUUCACACCCCUAUCUUCCAGAAACAAGGCCUAUCUGAGUGUUUUGUCAGAUAAAAAAUGAAGUCAUGUUUUUAAAAUAAUAUAUUAGCAGAAUAUGACUCCAUUCAUCAAAGUGAUCCUGGUUAAUCAUUUCUAAACGAUGAUUGACAGCCAAAUGCAAUUAAUAUUAACUGAAAUGGUUAAAAAUUAAAUGUUUUUCACCAGUGAGGACACCACCAUUAGCCUUUGUUCACGCCACUGCAAAACUGAGUUAAAAUUUGUAGCUGUAAGUAAGGG